rnacentral:rRNA from 1 species
UACACACGUACUACAAUGGUCGGUACAGAGGGUUGCGAAACCGCGAGGUGAAGCCAAUCCCAGAAAGCCGAUCUCAGUCCGGAUCGGAGUCUGCAACUCGACUCCGUGAAGUCGGAAUCGCUAGUAAUCGCGAAUCAGCAUUGUCGCGGUGAAUACGUUCCCGGGCCUUGUACACACCGCCCGUCACACCAUGGGAGUGGGUUGCUCCAGAAGCAGGUAGCGUAACCGCAAGGGGCGCGCUUGCCACGGAGUGGUUCAUGACUGGGGUGAAGUCGUAACAAGGUAGCCGUAUCGGAAGGUGCGGCUGGAUCACCUCCUUA